CUCAGUUCGGAUUGGAGUCUGNAACCCGACUCCAUGAAGCUGGAUUCGCUAGUAAUCGCGCAUCAGCCACGGCGCGGUGAAUACGUUCCCGGGCCUUGUACACACCGCCCGUCAAGCCAUGGAAGCCGGGGGUGCCUGAAGUGUGCAACCGCAAGGAGCGCCCUAAGGUAAAACCGGUGACUGGGGCUAAGUCGUAACAAGGUACC
rnacentral:rRNA from 1 species